AACGAACGCUGGCGGCAUGCCUAACACAUGCAAGUCGAACGAGACUCCCAUCUUCGGAUGGCGGGUCUAGUGGCGCACGGGUGCGUAACGCGUGGGAAUCUGCCCUUAGGUUCGGAAUAACAGUGGGAAACUACUGCUAAUACCGGAUAAUGACGUAAGUCCAAAGAUUUAUCGCCUAGGGAUGAGCCCGCGUAGGAUUAGCUAGUUGGUGGGGUAAAAGCCUACCAAGGCGACGANCCUUAGCUGGUCUGAGAGGAUGAUCAGCCACACUGGGACUGAGACACGGCCCAGACUCCUACGGGAGGCAGCAGUGGGGAAUAUUGGACAAUGGGCGAAAGCCUGAUCCAGCAAUGCCGCGUGAGUGAUGAAGGCCUAGGGUGUAAAGCUNUUUACCCGGGAUGAUAAUGACAGUACCGGGAGAA
rnacentral:rRNA from 1 species